rnacentral:rRNA from 1 species
GACGAACGCUGGCGGCGUGCCUAACACAUGCAAGUCGAACGAGGUCCAAGGAGUGCUUGCACUCCUGAAGACCUAGUGGCGAACGGGUGAGUAACACGUGAGAAACCUGCCCCAGACUCUGGGAUAACCCAAGGAAACUUGAGCUAAUACCGGAUACCCUCCUGCGGUCGCAUGGCUGCUUGAGGAAAGUUUUUCGGUCUGGGAGGGUCUCGCGGCCUAUCAGCUAGUUGGUGGGGUAACGGCCCACCAAGGCUACGACGGGUAGCUGGUUUGAGAGAACGAUCAGCCAAACUGGAACUGAGACACGGUCCAGACUCCUACGGGAGGCAGCAGUGGGGAAUCUUGCGCAAUGGGCGAAAGCCUGACGCAGCAACGCCGCGUGCGGGAUGAAGGCCUUCGGGUUGUAAACCGCUUUCAGCAGGGACGAAAAUGACGGUACCUGCAGAAGAAGCCCCGGCUAACUACGUGCCAGCCGCCGCUGUAAUAC